CAGCAGCCACGGGAAUACGGAGGGUGCAAGCGUUAUCCGGAUUUAUUGGGUUUAAAGGGUCCGUAGGCGGACUUAUAAGUCAGUGGUGAAAGCCUGUCGCUUAACGAUAGAACUGCCAUUGAUACUGUAAGUCUUGAGUAUAUUUGAGGUAGCUGGAAUAAGUAGUGUAGCGGUGAAAUGCAUAGAUAUUACUUAGAACACCAAUUGCGAAGGCAGGUUACCAAGAUAUAACUGACGCUGAGGGACGAAAGCGUGGGUAGCGAACAGGAUUAGAUACCCCGGUAGUCCCUGUCUCUUAUAA
rnacentral:rRNA from 1 species